rnacentral:lncRNA from 1 species
CUUUCUAGAAGUGUGUUUAUUUUUUCUUCUUUAAAAAUGAAGUCAUUAUUAAUAAUCUGGUUUGAUUUACAGAACAGUUCAUAAACAUAAGAUUUCAUAAAGACAAGACUUCAUACUUUAAUAUUUAGGAAUGUCAUGCAGUGCCCAACAUGCUCUCAAGCAACCACUAGUGCCAAGUACCCUGACUGAUGUGUUUGAAAGAAAUUAAGAAGCUUGAUUUAAGUACAGAAAAAAGAGCAAGGCCUGUGAAGAGCAAGGAGGUAGACUGAGGUACAUAGGCUGGUAUGAAAGAAAGGAUGUUGGCAAUCGGCAAAAGCAAAAUGAUAUGGCAAUGUGAAACAGACAGACGGUUGCUCCAAAGCAGUGCCAUUAAGGUUCCAUAAUGAACUUUGUCAGACUAGUUGUUUCUUCACCCCAUCAAACUAGAUAGGCUCCUAAAUCAACUACUCACUUUCAGAUCACUGAAAUUCACCUGAAGUUCCAAGUAGGGUUUUUUGUUGUUGUUGUUUAGUUUGAUGGGGUUUUUUGUUAUUUCCUGGUUUCCACUAUUACAAACAUCUGUGGUAUCAUCUCUGUAAGGUGGCUGCAUUGCACUCACCCAACAACUUCCUCUUUCUGUCACAGCACAACAGAAAGAAGUUAGCUUUCUUGCUGAGCAUCUUAUACUCACACUCAUCACUAAAGUAUCUGUGCACUUUCGCUGGAAACUUUAAAGUCGAGAAGUCUUUAUAGUCAAGCAUACACAGCAGACAUCAAGGUAAGUACAUGCUGGGAAUGACUGUUCUGGGUGCAACCUAAAUUAAUAUGCAAACACAGGAAGACAGCUGAUCAAGUAUGUCAACUAGGAGAAAUGACAGCCUGCAGAAGUGAACUUCUGUGGAACAACAAUGGGUUAAUAGCUGAUGAGAUGUAUGGAAAACUAGUGGUCAUAAAACUUUUACUGAACAAAUAGCAAGUCCACAGUUUUCAGUACUGAGUGGAAUUGGUCGUUCUGGUUCCCAGGUUUGCUUUUGUAGGUCUUUCCUGAGG